rnacentral:lncRNA from 1 species
GUUCUUUCAGGACUCUACACCAGACCCUCCCUUGAGUCGGGUGGACCACCAUCUUCAUGUGGCGGCCUUCCUCCCUCGGCGUCCCGCUCAGGUCGAGGCGCUCAGCUGCUCCUGUGAUGCUGUUCAGAGUCUGAUUAUCAGUCCAUCUUUUCACUGACUGAUCAGAGACUGACUCCUCUUUAGGUGGAACUACCUCUUUAAUAACUUGUUAAGUGUCUCUGGUAAUCAAUCUUCAACAUGUAACCAUUUUUUUUAUUAAUAAAUAAAGAGGAGUCUCCAUUUAUCUCCACAGCUUCACUCUCAGUCUCUGAUCAGUCAGUGAAAAGAUAUGGGGGGAGAUUUAUCUCAAAAUUAUGCUCAAAUAUAUAUCCACAAUUUCCACAUGUGACUUUCAGAUCCACAAAUGUAUUAUCAUGAUUUUCACGUGGUUUUUUUUAUUUGUUUGUGUGCAUUUAUCAUGAGUCAUCAUUCGUAAAUCUUAAAUUCUGCUUGUGAAUUGUUGAAAAAUGUGUUUGUGGAUCAACCGGCGCGUGUGUUUAUUUUUGAGACAAAUAUCACAGUUUUCAAGACACACAAAUUGAGGAUUUUCACGUGUGGAGAAAACCGCCUCUCCCAUCCACUGGGCGGCAGUGUUUCUCCCUCUGUUGAGAGAGGAAGAUGAUUGACAGCUGUCCACCUCAGAAGUGGGGAGAAGUUUCUCUGCUUCUAUAGUGGAAAGCUGUCAAUCAUCUUCCUCACAGUCUAUGCCCUUAGCAGAGAGACAGAGAGCUCUUUACACAAAUGUGGUCAAGUUUAACCCAAAAUAAACCCAAAUUCUGAUGAUUUAUUUGUUGUAUUUUAUGGUACAGGUGCUGGCAGUUGGACUUGACAUAUUGGAAGAAGAGGAGGAUCAUCAAACAGAGAAGCGGAUACUCUCAGGUAAUGUUAUCAUCCGUGUUUUUAAAGUUCAUCAGUGUUUUCAUUCCUGGAAAAUAAUUAUUGCGUUGUAGAUGAGACAUGACUUUAAGAAAACGUAGAGCUCAAAAC